GCCUGCUAGCCUGCAUUCCCUUUCCUGUAUCCUCUUCAGUCGUCGCCCAUAGAAACGCCCUCGAAGCCCCUCCCGAGGGAGGGAAAGCGCGUGGUGGGGGAAAGGUAGGAAGUGAGGAAGGCUUUUUCGCUUUCAAGAAAACCCCUUUCACCCCCCGCUCGCCUCUCGGGUUAGAAACGUCCGUACACCGGCUUAAGUCAAUAGCAAAUGUUGUGUUAAAGGAAAGCGGUAUUAGUUUUUCUUUCAAAUAAGUUCUCGUGAAGUAAUGCGCCUCCGUGCGCUACCCAGAAUUCCCGAGGUCCCGCGUGGCGUGUUUCCGGUCUGCGUGCUGCCCGGGAGCAGCAAGGCGAGGCUCCAGCGUUCGCGAGCCUUUUCACCGUGCCCCGCUGCUGUGGGUCCUCGCCCAGUGCCCGCUUUCCCCCACAAAGUAUUUUAUGUAUUUUUGUAUUUUAUGACUGUAAGAAGAAAACUGCUUUCAAAAAGUGCCUGCUCCCAGCAAAACUGAUAGUGCCUUUGAAACAUCCAUGUGUCAACAUCAAGUUUGCUGUUGUAAAUGUUUUUCUGAAACUCAUGAAAGAGAGCUGCAGCCAUUACCACUUUCCAAGGGCUUACAGAGUGAUCCACAGUCAUGGAAUCCCACAUGACAGCGUCUGACCAGGGGACCCUGUUCUGAACACAGGAGGUAUGGAUAUGGGGCCAUGACCUUGGGAUUCACUGCAGCAUCCAGAAGCUGCUGACCUGGUAGAGUGAUGGGAUGACCUGCUGAAAGCAUAACUGAAAUGUUACCUUGGAGACAAGACUCUUAAUGACUGGGCACUCCUCCGGAAUGCAGUCUAUGCACUGAAUCAGAGGCUUCUAAAUGGUACUGUGUUCCCGGGAAGAAGAAAACUGUUGCCUAGGAAUCAAGAAGUGGAAGCAGGAGGGGUUCCACUUACCAUCACUCCAGUGACCCACCGGAAGAUUUUAUGUUGUCUAUCCCUGCAACUCUGGGCUCUCAGGAUUAGAGGGCCUGAUAAGGGGAUGCACUCUUGCCACUGGGCACAGUGAACUACAAGCUGUGGCUGCCACUUGGGCACCUUGGAUUCCAGCAGGCCAGAAGAGUCACCAUCUUGGCAGAGGUCAUUGUCCCUGAUCAGCAAGUAGAGGCAGGGCUCCUGUUACACGAUGAGGACAGGGAAAAAUAUGUGUAGAAUUCAGGUGACCCACGUGGGUGCCUCUUGGCACUUUAUUGUUGAAUUGCAAACUUGGGUGGACGAGUGCAGCAAUCCCGGCCUAAGAAGAAUAUGGUUAACAAAACUCAGACCCCUCCAAGUGGAGCAGCUGCUCCCUGGAUCUGUGGAGAGAAGUAAAUCUAUGCGGCACAAGGGUGGGCUGUGGCAACCACGGAUGGGUGUGCUGUUCAAAUGUCCCUUCAAGAAAGAACUUAGUGAGCAAUUGCGAGAGGAGCAGUUUACUGAUAGCCUCAGGUUACAGCAUCUUUGGGCUCUGUAGUUUUUGAGCUGAGGCCAGGCUUUUCCUCAGCCAGCCCCAGCCAAUGAUUGAGCAUGUGCCCAGCACUCUCUCUUACAUUUGGGAACUUCUCUACCCGAACCCCAACUGUAGGGUUCCAAAAGGAGAAACCAUGCCCUUCUAUGUCCUGGCUCCCACCACCAAAGUUGAUUGGUCUAAGCAUGGGUGCCUAAUUGAAGAUAGGCGGUCACUCAUAGUCCUUCCCUUGGAUUUUUUUUCUUUCUUUCUUUUUUUUUUUUAACUGUAACUGAGAAAAGAGUGUCUCUAGUGGGGAAGGUGUAAGAGGUAGACUCCGGAGUUAUUGGUUUCUGGCCAUGUGAAGAAGUCCAUCUACAGUGAGAAUGAAGUCAACACACAGAGAAGUUCAAAGACAAGAGACAGAGAGUGCUUGCAGCAUUCAAUUGCUUGAGGUCCACCUGUAUCCGGCUCUUCUAGGUUUGAUUGUUUUAACCUUUUCCUUCUAUUGGGUAAGAUAGUCUAGUAUGUUUCCAAUAAAUAAUCUGAUCGGAAUCAGACAUCCAUGAUAUGUGAUCGCCUAAGAGGUUCUGGCAUUUAGGAGUAUCCUAUACCUAUUUUAUAUUAAAAGGUAACAUUGACAGAGUUGAGGGUUUAUUAUGUUCCGAAGAAUGGUCUAAGCACUUUACAUAUCUGAAUUCAUUUAAUAUUCUCAGCAACAAUGAGUCUAACCUAAUGUCCUCUAUUGUUUUCCCCAAUUUACAUAUAAAGAAAUCGAGGCUACUUUAUUUU